GAAAUGCGAUAAGUAAUGUGAAUUGCAGAAUUCAGUGAAUCAUCGAAUCUUUGAACGCACCUUGCACCCUUUGGCAUUCCGAAGGGUAUGCUCGUUUGAGUGUCAUUGUACUCUCACACUCUCUGAUCCUUUGGAUUCAGGGAGCGGUGGACUUGGGUGUUUGCCGCUUUCCUUGUGGCUCACCUCAAAUGUGUUAGUGCACCUCUUGGUUGGACAUAGAACGGCGUGAUAAGUGUCUUCGCCGGCACCUCGCAAGAGGGUGGCCAAUUGGGAGCUCUGUGCUUUCAAACCGUCUUCGGACAAUCUCUGACAACUUGACCUCAAAUCGAGUAGGACUACCCGCUGAACUUAA
rnacentral:misc_RNA from 1 species